CAGUCGCCACGGGAAUACGGAGGGUGCAAGCGUUAUCCGGAUUUAUUGGGUUUAAAGGGUCCGUAGGCGGAUCUGUAAGUCAGUGGUGAAAUCUCACAGCUUAACUGUGAAACUGCCAUUGAUACUGCAGGUCUUGAGUAAAUUUGAAGUGGCUGGAAUAAGUAGUGUAGCGGUGAAAUGCAUAGAUAUUACUUAGAACACCAAUUGCGAAGGCAGGUCACUAAGAUUUAACUGACGCUGAUGGACGAAAGCGUGGGGAGCGAACAGGAUUAAAUACCCCGGUAGUCCCUGUCUCUUAUAC
rnacentral:rRNA from 1 species